rnacentral:rRNA from 1 species
AGUGAAUAGAUACCCGGGUAGUCCACGCUGUAAACGAUGAUCACUCGCUGUUUGCGAUAUACAGCAAAGCGGCUGAGCGAAAGCAAUAAGUGAUCCACCUGGGGAGUACGAUCGCAAGGUUGAAACUCAAAGGAAUUGACGGGGCCCGCACAAGCGGAGGAACAUGUGGUUUAAUUCGAUGAUACGCGAGGAACCUUACCUGGGCUUAAAUGGGGAGUGACGUUAUCAGAGAUGGUAAUUUCUUCGGACACUCUUCAAGGUGCUGCAUGGUUGUCGUCAGCUCGUGCCGUGAGGUGUCGGGUUAAGUCCCAUAACGAGCGCAACCCUUACUGUUAGUUGCCAUCGGGUAAAGCCGGGGACUCUAGCGGGACUGCCACCGUAAGGUGAGAGGAAGGUGGGGAUGACGUCAAAUCAGCACGGCCCUUAUGUCCAGGGCUACACACGUGUUACAAUGGCCGGUACAGAGGGCAGCUACACUGCGAAGUGAUGCGAAUCCCGAAAGCCGGUCUCAGUUCGGAUCGAAGUCUGC